ACAAAUGAAACUCAAGUACAUGUUAAUGCUUUACACGUUCAGUAGUUAGCUAACCUCGUACUUUACACUGAAGGGUUAAAAUAUUGCCCAACACAGCGACAGAAAGGAGAAGCUCCCUUCCGUCUGAACCAGAAGAUUAGUAUCGCUGGGCAGAAGUUACCGUUAGGCUAAUCGGCACCACGGUGUCCGAUCCGCUACUCAGCCCGCACAACUUCCACAAGCUAGGUUAGCUAGCAUGGCAGCAGCUUGUCGACCGUUACCAUUACAGACGUUACAGCAGAGUUACCUGUAAUUCGUGAGGACACUUUUGUUCACUACGACGAUCAGGAACGAGCUGAGACCGUAAAAUGCGGCGGCAAACAGCUUCACGAUCAGCGUCGGAGGACGCAGCCAGGGACCUACAUCAGAAUGCUGUUGGUGGAUUUUUCUAAACAAGCUGGUACACAAACUAACAGGCCUCGAUGUAUCAGACUCCAUCUGCCAACGGAUUCUGAAAUUCCUGUUGAACCGCUCCCAGAAGGUCAGGAUGAUAUCAUCUCCAGGGGGUAUGAGUCGACUUACCAGGACAAGGUGGAAAGGCUGUCUGGGUGGUGAAAGGACAACAGCUCAUGUCUCAACACUGCAAAAACCAAAGAGGUUGUGGUGGACUACAGGAGGACAUUCAGCCUGUGUUCAUCAGCGGAGACUGUGUGGAGAAGGUGGCUGACUUCAAGUUCCUGGGCGUCACCACUGAGAAGGAUCUCACCUGGAGUGCAAACACCACGGCUCUUGUGAGGAAGGCCCAACAGAGAAACAACUCUCCAAGAGGCUGCUGGUAGCCUUCUACUGCUGCUCUGUGGAGAGCAUUCUGACACAGUGUCCGUGUCUGGUUUGCCAGUUGCACAGCUGCAGACAGAAAAGCACUCCAGAGAGUCAUCACCACUUCUCAGAAGAUCAUUGGCUACCCUCUCCCCUCAUUACAAGAACUAUACAAUUCCUGCUGCCUAAAAAAAAAAAAAAAAAAAAAAA